GGUAAAAGCGGCGAGAACGUAAUUAAUAUUCGAAAUCUGAAACGUGGAAACGACGCUGGUUCCUACCGGUGGAUAAACGUUCGUCCGUUCGGUGAAUGCUUUCACUAUGCGUGCCUACUGCUGGGAUUAGGCAUGCUGGGAAUCCACAUAACGGAGAAGGCAUUGUUACACGUUCCUAUCAACUGUAACGAUGCUGUUUCUAAUCCCUAGAAAUCAAGAAUCUAGUCUUUAAUAACAUAUUUAAAAAAAAAAAACAAAAAGAAAAAGAAACCAACUUUUCCUCCUCAUUUUGUUUCAUUCCGUUCCGUAUCGUAAUUCUCUCUAAUUCAAACCGCCUACUGGUUUCUUACUUAACGUAAUUUAAACGUUCCUCCAUAUCAUUAAGGCCUAAACGGAUAUAUAACAUUUUAAUAUAUGCGAAAUUCUCGCGAUUUAAUCAGGAAGCCGGAAAACGAGUUCGAAACGUGGCCACUUUGAGAACGAGGGCGUUUUGUUUCGCGGCCCAAUUUCGCUUCAAACGUAUAUCAUUUUACGUGUCGAUGGAUUUGGGUCGUAGAACUAUAUCGCGAUCGGUUAAUGGCGUUGCGUAACGCCAAACGAGAUACGUGACUCGAUAAAAAUCGAUUGUAUCAUCGACGGUGGGAACGUUCGUUUGGUUUCCUCAAGAUCCAGAGCCACGUUAUAACCCUCUCUCUUGUUAGGUUUAGAGCCCCGGAGCACGGGAACGAUGGAGCAAUUCGUUCCCUGGUCGAAGUCGUAACAGCGGUGUAGAGGUGUCGUAACAGCGACUUAAUAACAGCUACGUUGAAAAGGGAAGGGAAAAGGAAGGAAGAUCUUUAUCGGUUCUCAUUCAAAUUCGCUACUCUAUAUUUAAGGAACAUUCUAACGCUCUUUACAAAGCUCUUGAGAAUUCAUCAUGCAACUAAAACGAAGAUAAAUAGAAUACAGGAACAUACAAUCGAUAUAAAAUAAUCUGAGGAACUAUGCGGUAAAAAGUGGAAUAAAAGCAUUAUCUAUAGGAAACGUGGAUUAGCGCCCUACAUAAAAUACAUAGUCACUAAAAUACUAUAUUGUACUAGACAGGUUAGACUCCUAGACCAUGAGCCCUGGAACGUUGAAGCUAGUUGUCCACUAUUAAGGGCACAGAGGGCGCCAAAACAUUGUAUCGCCUGCGGCGCCAAACUCUUGCUACAUCAUCUUAUUAACACGGAAGAAUUUAACAAACGACGAUGAAUAACAACUUUCAUUUUUUAAAAGUACCACACAGUAACAAGUCAUUGUUCCUCUGUAAUAAAAAUGGCCGGUCGAUAAAGUGCUAAUAAUCGAUGUAGGAGUCAGGUAUUCACGGAUCGAAAAGUAGAAAGUGAAGUAUUCCAUCUACGAUUUACACUCCGUUAACGAUCGUUUGUCACGAUCGAAGAUAAAGACGGUGAGAUUCCUACGGCGUUGCUUCCAAUGAGAAUCGUAGCCAAUCGCAUCCAAUGAGAAUUGAUGGAAAUGGAAACCCUUAUCACGAGAUGUCGCCAUCCCCUGCUAAGGAUUAAAUUAUGUAAAUUCCCGGGAGUAUCGGUCGUGGCCGAUCGAAGUACAUAUUCUUUGGAAUUCGAUUAUGUGUCAACAUCGAAAUAUGUACGAACAGGAUCAUGAGAAAAGAUAAAAGGAGCGUAUUAUAAGGCUUGGAUGUCUACGAUCCUGCGACAAGUAUACAAGUAUAAUUGCUUAUGGAUGCGGACACGCCCUGAGAGAAAAAUUCAUCCGGGGAAUGCGCUGAAGUAACCACGUCCUUGACCGUACUUGACGGAAACGGCAUUCAACCUUCUGAUGCCUUCUUCUCCGUCGUCCAAGAUGGAAUUCUACCGCGAGGCGGUUGUAUUCCAGCUGAACGCCGUGUUUGGAACUUUUAUUUGAUGACUACCUAGAGAAAAUAUCAGAAAGAAAAUCGGGGAAGAAUGUUGGAAGUUGUUAAUUGCAAAAAUGGUGGAAUUAUUAUUUCUUUUAAAACACUAAUAACCCAUUGUUCGAAAACAAGAAUUCUAGCGUCUAUAUUUCAAAAUGACCCGAAUAUUUACGAAAGAUAAGAGAACGAUUGCCUAUUUUAAUACCAUGCCGUGAUUUGUCGAGUAUCUAAUCUAUAAAAUAGUUUUCAAGGAUACUAGAUAUCCUAAUGAAUGAUAAAAUGAUUUAAGUGCCAAGUUACACAGAUCAUAUGUAUUUAUUUCAUCUUUCCAGAUUUUCAUUGUAAGACUAAGAAUCACCUUUGUAAAUUUCCAUGCUUUCUACAAAGUAUACAAGCAACAUAGUUACAUACGUGUAAUGCAGGCAAAUUACUCAAGAAUAUUAUCCGCCUGACUUGAAAGUGGGCAUGCAGGAUGGAACCUGAUUCGCAGUGCGAAGUCUAAAUGACACGGGAGAGGAACGGGAAAUCUGACAUUCUCGUUUUCUUCUCGCACAAGCUAGCACCUCGUUAACUGAUCAAGAUUUUAUUUUGUUAACUGGCUAUCGCCAUCCUCGCCAAUUAGGAUACAAAAAAAAUUGGAAUAGAAAUAAAAAAAGCUUGGUUUUAUAAAAAUUACGCAAAGUUUAUCACUGAACGUUAAUUGACGAGGGCCGUAUAAUAAUGGUAUCGCAUGAUUGAUUUAAAAGGUGGAGGAGGAAUCUGAAAUUUUUAAAAGAUUUGUUUCGUCUGGAUCAAAAAUUUUGUGCUUCCCGGUUGGAGGCUUUCCUUCCUCUUCUUUUCGUGACAACGUAACGCAACAUGCUCGUUAGAUUGGGGUUCGAGUGCGCGAGAAAGGGGAGGAAUUUAUGCCGUCGUUAACAUAACGUUCCUUGGUGCAAGGUGGUUUACAAGCAACAUCGUAAAAUCCACGUCUUCUCGAUUUAUCAUAGCACGAGCAACAAACUGCUCGCAUUCCCUUCAUUCGCCAGUGCGUGGAAUAUCUCGUGGCGAAGGUUGUUCACCCUUCUCGAGGGACUAAAAUCACUCUAGAUCCUCCGAGAUAAUGAGGUAUAUCGAAUUGGUAAUAAACAGUGGAAAAGGAGUA